AUGGCCUGGACCCCUCUCCUGCUCCCCCUCCUCACUCUCUGCACAGGUUCUGUGGCCUCUUCUCAGCUGACUCAACCACCUGCGGCGUCCGUGUCCUUAGGACAGAUGGCCAGGAUCACUUGCCAAGGCGAUAGCUUAGGAAGCUAUUAUGCUAGCUGGUACCAGCAGAAGCCAGGCCAGGCUCCUGUGCUGGUCAUUUAUGGUGAUAGCAACCGGGCCUCAGGGAUCCCUGACCGAUUCUCUGGCUCCAAAUCAGGCAACACAGCCACCCUGACCAUCAGCGGGGCCCAGGCCGAGGACGAGGCUGACUAUUACUGUGCGUCAGCUGACAGCAAGCUCCUGAGAUAUGGUGGGCGCACUGAAUGGAUUGAGGGGCCCCAUAAUCCAGUAUGA